CAAUAGGCUGCAUUAGCAGCCACCGAAGAUUCACACUUUUGCACAG
rfam:Caenorhabditis japonica strain DF5081 Contig17535.6, whole genome shotgun sequence.